rnacentral:lncRNA from 1 species
CAUUGACUGUUAAGGAAUUGUAAUAAGGUACAAGGAGCCAAUUGAUUGCUCAAGUGUAAACACUGUGCUCCUCAUUUAAAGUCUAAUAAUUUCCCCAAUCAAAAAGCUCUCCUGUCUAUAAAUUAUCCCACCAUCUCUCACUGAAGAAAACAGAUCCUUUCAAAAGUUGUCCAGCACACAGUAUGAAGAAGGAAAAGCAGUUUCUAUAAUCUUUUUCAAGACAGAUUUCUCUCUCAAGACAGCAGAUGGUCACUUCCCUCUGGUGCUGAUACUGCUUUUAACUAAUUUUUUUCAGCUGUGCUCACACAUAUAUUAAAAAGACACAAAAUACAGACAAGUUGCUCAAAGAUCAGAGAUGCUGCCAUGCUGCAUCUGAACUUGGAUAAGUGGUUAUCAGCUUCACUCCAGCCAGUUGAGCCUCAAUAAACAG